rnacentral:rRNA from 1 species
UUUGUUUAUUACACUUUGUUGCUUUGGCAAGCCUGCCCUCGGGCUGCUGGCUCCGGCCGGCGAGCGCUUGCCAGAGGACCUAAACUCUGUUUGUCUAUACUGUCUGAGUACUAUAUAAUAGUUAAAACUUUCAACAACGGAUCUCUUGGUUCUGGCAUCGAUGAAGAACGCAGCGAAAUGCGAUAAGUAAUGUGAAUUGCAGAAUUCAGUGAAUCAUCGAAUCUUUGAACGCACAUUGCGCCCCCUGGUAUUCCGGGGGGCAUGCCUGUCCGAGCGUCAUUACAACCCUCAAGCUCAGCUUGGUAUUGGGCCCCGCCGACCCGGCGGGCCCUAAAGUCAGUGGCGGUGCCGUCCGGCUCCGAGCGUAGUAAUUCUUCUCGCUCUGGAGGUCCGGUCGUGUGCUCGCCAGCAACCCCCAAUUUUUUUCAGGUUGACCUCGGAUCAGGUAGGGAUACCCGCUGAACUUAAGCAUAUCAAUAAGCGGAGGAAAAGAAACCAACAGGGAUUACCUCAGUAACGGCGAGUGAAGCGGUAACAGCUCAAAUUUGAAAUCUGGCCUCACGGUCCGAGUUGUAAUUUGUAGAGGAUGCUUCGAGCAUGGUCUGGCCUAAGUUCCUUGGAACAGGACGUCAUAGAGGGUGAGAAUCCCGUAUGCGGCCAGGUGCCUACGCUCAUGUGAAGCUCCUUCGACGAGUCGAGUUGUUUGGGAAUGCAGCUCAAAAUGGGUGGUAAAUUUCAUCUAAAGCUAAAUAUUGGCCAGAGACCGAUAGCGCACAAGUAGAGUGAUCGAAAGAUGAAAAGCACUUUGGAAAGAGAGUUAAACAGUACGUGAAAUUGUUGAAAGGGAAGCGCUUGCAACCAGACUUGCGCGCGGCCGAUCAUCCGGUGUUCUCACCGGUGCACUCGGCCGUGCUCAGGCCAGCAUCGGUUUUGGCGGCUGGAUAAAGGCCCUAGGAAUGUGGCUCCUCU